UGAGGAAUAUUGGUCAAUGGGCGGAAGCCUGAACCAGCCAAGUAGCGUGCAGGAUGACGGCCCUAUGGGUUGUAAACUGCUUUUAUACAGGAAUAAAGUUAGCCACGUGUGGUUAUUUGUAGGUACUGUAUGAAUAAGGACCGGCUAAUUCCGUG
rnacentral:rRNA from 1 species